GACGAACGCUGGCGGCGUGCCUAAUACAUGCAAGUUGAGCGCUGAAGGUUGGUACUUGUACCGACUGGAUGAGCAGCGAACGGGUGAGUAACGCGUGGGGAAUCUGCCUUUGAGCGGGGGACAACAUUUGGAAACGAAUGCUAAUACCGCAUAAAAACUUUAAACACAAGUUUUAAGUUUGAAAGAUGCAAUUGCAUCACUCAAAGAUGAUCCCGCGUUGUAUUAGCUAGUUGGUGAGGUAAAGGCUCACCAAGGCGAUGAUACAUAGCCGACCUGAGAGGGUGAUCGGCCACAUUGGGACUGAGACACGGCCCAAACUCCUACGGGAGGCAGCAGGAGGGAAUCUUCGGCAAUGGACGAAAGUCUGACCGAGCAACGCCGCGUGAGUGAAGAAGGUUGUCGGAUCGUAAAACUCUGUUGGUAGAGAAGAACGUUGGUGAGAGUGGAAAGCUCAUCAAGUGACGGUAACUACCCAGAAAGGGACGGCUAACUACGUG
rnacentral:rRNA from 1 species